UGAAGCCGGGCACUCUGGCGGGACUGCCAUCGACAAGAUGGAGGAAGGUGGGGAGUGACGUCAAGUCAUCAUGGCCCUUAUGUCCAGGGCGACACACGUGCUACAAUGGCCGGCACAGCGGGAAGCGAGGCAGUGAUGCCGAGCGGAUCCCUUAAAGCCGGUCUCAGUUCGGAUUGAAGUCUGCAACUCGACUUCAUGAAGCUGGAAUCGCUAGUAAUCGCAGAUCAGCCAAGCUGCGGUGAAUACGUUCCCGGGCCUU
rnacentral:rRNA from 1 species